GAUGAACGCUAGCGGCAGGCUUAAUACAUGCAAGGCGAAGGGGCAGCAAUGUCACUGUCGUACGGGUGCGUAACGCGUAUGCAACCUACCUAUAACUGGGGGAUAGCCCGGGGAAACCCGGAUUAAUACCGCAUAAUACAUGGAUGUAGCAUUACAUUUUUUGUUAAAGAUUUAUUGGUUAUAGAUGGGCAUGCGUUCGAUUAGCUAGUUGGUAUGGGUAACGGCCUACCAAGGCGACGAUCGAUAGGGGAGCUGAGAGGUUGAUCCCCCACACGGGCACUGAGGUACGGGCCCGACUCCUACGGGAGGCAGCAGUAGGGAAUAUUGGGCAAUGGAUGCAAGUCUGACCCAGCCAUGCCGCGUGCCGGAUGAAGGUCCUCAGGGUUGUAAACGGCUUUUAUUCGGGAAGAAGAGCGAGGAUGCGUCCUUGUGUGACGGUACCGAAUGAAUAAGCACCGGCUAACUCCAUGCCAGCCGCCGCAGUAAAAC
rnacentral:rRNA from 1 species